rnacentral:pre_miRNA from 1 species
AUCACCUAGGAAUCUUGUUAAAAUGUAGAUUCUAAUUCUAGAGAUCUGUGAUUCGGCAUUUCUCAGGAGCUUCAGGUUGAUGAUAACGCU